AUCUGUAGGUGUGGUUGGCCGAAUAUUGUAAGGGGUUAAUACGUAGUUUGUAUUUGAAUAGUUAGAUUAACGUGUUAGUAAUCCAAUUGUAGGUGGUUCGUGUGUGGAUCUCGUCAGCAUAUCGUCGCAAACAGGUAAUCCCCAACCAUAGUGGGCUUGGAGCUGUGAGGGAAUUCGGAGUGGCCACCCGUUCUGAAAGUUUGAUUUUCUUCUGGUGAACUGGACAUCCUUGUAAUUACGUUUGAGGUUUUGGGCUUUUAAAUGUAAUAAGGCCGCUUAUUUAUUUUUGAUGGUUUUUAUAUGUUUUAUUAAUAUAGGUAAUAUUUAUAUUUAA